rnacentral:rRNA from 1 species
CAGAGGUGGCAAGCGUUGUUCGGAAUUACUGGGCGUAAAGGGCGCGUAGGCGGCCAUCUAAGUCAGACGUGAAAUCCCCCGGCUUAACCUGGGAACUGCGUCUGAUACUGGAAGGCUCGAGUUUGGGAGAGGGAUGUGGAAUUCCAGGUGUAGCGGUGAAAUGCGUAGAUAUCUGGAGGAACACCGGUGGCGAAGGCGGCAUCCUGGACCAACACUGACGCUGAGGCGCGAAAGCUAGGGGAGCAAACGGGAUUAGAUACCCCGGUAGUCCUAGCCCUAAACGAUGAAUGCUUGGUGUGGCGGGUAUCGAUCCCUGCCGUGCCGAAGCUAACGCAUUAAGCAUUCCGCCUGGGGGAGUACGGUCGCAAGGCUG